CAUUAAUGAAUGCGACAUGCAAAGUUUCAUAAAACUGAUAACGAUGGAAUAUUGAGGUAUGAAUAUCAGUAGCAAUCCUGUUCUGUGCCAAACUGAUUCGUGGACAAAUUUAAUGGGUCCAGUUGCAAAAUUGUCCCGUGAGACCGAGCGCUGUUUCUCUGUUGUGAUAAAUUAUCGGUGGGCAUUGGAAAGAAGUAUCCGUUUCUCAGUGGGCCCUGCAGUUUGUUGAUUGCAAACAACGCUUUUUUCCGAUUUCGAAUAAUGCUCAGUGACUGGACACUCGUGGCAUUGGAACUCUGCUGAGAAGGACUUUUUUGACUAAUAUAAAUGUGAAUCAAAAAGGUUUGUCUCACCGAUGGUACUGGAAGUGAAACGCUGCCGGUUUCAAGCAUGCUGAAGCACAUGUGAUGCAGAAAAUUCGCAUUUUGUCGCCCGUGGAACAACAAACACAAUGUAAUGAUGUACCUCCGAGAACUUCAAGUUCGGUUCAUUCGCAUACAAAAGAUUUCCUAUGAUAUUUGCACCUCGACAGAUAUGCCAGUUUUUAAAUGUCCUGAUCACCGAAUAUGGGGUGCAUGUUCGUACGAUCGUUUUUCGGGCUAACCAUUUCUAAAUUACAAAGGAGAGUCGAAAUAUCAGUUAGACGAUGCUGCCCAUUGACAGUUCAAGGGGCUGACUGUCCUAGCGUAUUACUAUCAAGCGGCAUAGUUUUGCUGAUGAACCAGAUGGAUUGUUACUAUGCUAGCGCUGCUUCCCAUCAGUUUUCAUUCAUCUCAAUGUAGACGUUAAACAUUAAUGUAUCGACAAAUACGACAAGAGCAUAAAAGAUAUGAACGAAAUCAAGUUCAAUAAAAAAUCUAUGGGAGCUCAUGAUCGAAUUCAUUACGAUACAAGCGGUAGGGAAUUUCACGUAACCCGUCAAGCAUCACAAAUUUUAUUUGUCCGCUGCAACUGGAAUAUCGAAUAUACUUCCUGGAAUCAACUCAUCUUUCUAUCAAUAAGAUAAAAGUGGUUUUUUAAUUGGAACAUAAUCCAUACGCACAGUGGCACCUUUAAACACAUUUGUUUUAGGAUCGAAAGAUGCUCAACCGCCACGCCGCCCUACGCGGCUCGCUCGGUACAAACCCAACAAGAAAUGCCACUAUACCACAAUUUUCGAAGAAAAGCUGGCAGCGGAUCUACCAUAUGAUGGGCACCAAGCGUUCCAUGAUGAAGCUUUGUUCCAUCCACUACAUACAAACCGGAUAUCUCUAAUCAGCUAUAACUGGUAGCUGCAAUCAAAGAAAUUGUGAAGAAACAGUGUACAACGCGAUCCAUGAAAAAAUCUUGUGCCAA